GAUGAACGCUAGCGGCAGGCUUAACACAUGCAAGUCGAGGGGCAGCGCGAUGUAGCAAUACAUUGGCGGCGACCGGCGCACGGGUGCGUAACACGUAUGGAAUCUGCCCUGUACUGGAAGAUAACCCGGCGAAAGUCGGACUAAUAUCCCAUAAUAGCCGAGGUGGCAUCACCUUGGUUUGAAAGCUCCGGCGGCACAGGAUGACCAUGCGCACGAUUAGCUAGUUGGUGAGGUAACGGCUCACCAAGGCUACGAUCGUUAGGGGGCCUGAGAGGGUUAUCCCCCACACUGGUACUGAGACACGGACCAGACUCCUACGGGAGGCAGCAGUGAGGAAUAUUGCGCAAUGGAGGCAACUCUGACGCAGCCAUGCCGCGUGCAGGAAGAAGGCGCUACGCGUUGUAACCUGCUUUUAUCCGGGAAGAAACCCCAGGACGUGUCCUGGGUUGACGGUACCGGAGGAAUAAGCACCGGCUAACUUCGUGCCAG
rnacentral:rRNA from 1 species